rnacentral:rRNA from 1 species
GUUGAUAUUCCUGUACCACCUAUAAUCGUUUUAAUCGAUGGGGGGACGCAGUAGGAUAGGCGAAGCGUGCGAUUGGAUUGCACGUCUAAGCAGUAAGGCUGAGUAUUAGGCAAAUCCGGUACUCGUUAAGGCUGAGCUGUGAUGGGGAGAAGACAUUGUGUCUUCGAGUCGUUGAUUUCACACUGCCGAGAAAAGCCUCUAGAUAGAAAAUAGGUGCCCGUACCGCAAACCGACACAGGUAGUCAAGAUGAGAAUUCUAAGGUGAGCGAGCGAACUCUCGUUAAGGAACUCGGCAAAAUGACCCCGUAACUUCGGGAGAAGGGGUGCUCUUUAGGGUUAACGCCCAGAAGAGCCGCAGUGAAUAGGCCCAAGCGACUGUUUAUCAAAAACACAGGUCUCUGCUAAACCGUAAGGUGAUGUAUAGGGGCUGACGCCUGCCCGGUGCUGGAAGGUUAAGAGGAGUGGUUAGCUUCUGCGAAGCUACGAAUCGAAGCCCCAGUAAACGGCGGCCGUAACUAUAACGGUCCUAAGGUAGCGAAAUUCCUUGUCGGGUAAGUUCCGACCCGCACGAAAGGCGUAACGAUUUGGGCACUGUCUCAACGAGAGACUCGGUGAAAUCAUAGUACCUGUGAAGAUGCAGGUUACCCGCGACAGGACGGAAAGACCCCGUGGAGCUUUACUGUAGCCUGAUAUUGAAAUUCGGCACAGCUUGUACAGGAUAGGUAGGAGCCUUUGAAACGUGAGCGCUAGCUUACGUGGAGGCGCUGGUGGGAUACUACCCUAGCUGUGUUGGCUUUCUAACCCGCACCACUUAUCGUGGUGGGAGACAGUGUCAGGCGGGCAGUUUGACUGGGGCGGUCGCCUCCUAAAAGG